CGGGCCAAUCAGCGGGACUGGCGGGCGCGCGGGGACUGUUGGGCUCCUCAGAGGGUUUGAUGUUGAGGUUUGGGUUGGUCUCGGGCUGGCUUCGGGCUGAGGCAGGAGGGAAAGGCGGGAGCCGGGGCGUCAGGGCCUGCGGACGAUGUGUGUGUGAAAGGGCGCGUCAGCCAUAAGAAGCCAUACGCGUGCGAGCCGGUCCCCACUGCCCCCGCGGCGUUGUCAGCAUCAUCAUGAGGCCACUGGAGCAGCCUCGGGCGCUGCUGACGGGGAUCCGGGCGCGGGGUGCGUCGGGCUCUGCAGGUUGGCACUCACACCCGGCGCGCAGGAUGGCAGGCAAGAAUAGCCCAUUUCAAACCUACAAGAAAGAAGUGUGCCUCCCAGGUCAUUCGAUGCACCCUGGCCCCUGGGCCAUCUGCUGUGAGUGCCAGACCAGAUUCGGGGGCCGCCUACCUGUGCCCAGGGUGGAAGCAGCACUGCCUUACUGGGUCCCUCUGUCCCUGAGACCCCGAAAGCAGAGUCAAAAGAUGGUUCAGUUUUAUAUCCCCCAAACCACCAAGAUGUGCCCCUGCCUAUGCCAUCGCUUUGGGGGCCGCCUCCCGAUGCCUAGGGACCAGGCAGUGAUGCCCUACUGGGUGCCCCAGGUUCUGAGGUCUCAGCAGCAGAUGGUCAGGAGGCAGGAGAGUUUGAAAGGCAUCCAAGCACCCCCGCUGGAUGCAUGCUCCUGGCACAACUGCUGGCGGAUCUGCGGUGACGAGCGCCUGCUGCCCAAGUGCCAGCAGCUCCAGGCCCCCAACCGGGACGAGCUACCGGCUCGCCCAGUGUGUCUGCUGCGCCUUGCCCUCCUGACCCUCCUCCAGGCCAUCCCGAGGGUCAUUGUGGCCAUUCGCCAGUUUUUUGGGAUUUGAAGUUGGAAUCUUCAGCUACUGUCAAGAAUAUCCACAAAAAUGUGUCACAAUCAAGAUCUUUAACGAGAGUCCUCCAAUCAGGAGGCGUCUGUGACAGCCACUGUUUUCUCAGAACAGAAUCCACACCCAGGAUUCAACCCAAUUAUUUCUCAUCAGGGGGGACUUGUCCCCAUCUCCGUGUCCCUGGGGGAGGGCAGCCAUUUCCGAGUGUCUCUUCAGGGACAGCAGAUCCACUGGACAAGGGUCCGAAAAUGGUAUCAGCACCUGUGUCAGAUUAAUUCGUUAGGAGAAAAUUUGGUUUUUAAGGCCUGCAUAGUCUUCCAUCAUCUGGAUCCCCCAGAAUGAAUUGGCUGAUGUGAUUGUGGAGGUCAGCAAGUCCAAAAUCUUCGAGAUGUGCCGGCAGGCUGGUGAUCCGGGGAAGAGUUGCUGUCGUACCUGAACUCUGAGAGCCGUCUGCUGGCAGAAUUCUCUCUUCCUCGGAGGAGAAUCACCAUGAGAACAGCUGGGACUCAUUGACCAAUGGCAGCUGGAUGACCCACAGUCGCCAUCCACUGAAUCCUUCCAGAAACACCUGCACGUGGAGGCAGGUGUUGCUGUCUCCCCAUUUUGCAGGCUGGCCUAAUGGGAAGGUUGACCUGAUUUCCACUCUCCUACCGAAAAGUGACAAUGCAGCUGCCGGGCCAAGGAGGGACGUUGUGUGACCAGUUCAGAGGCAGGAGUUCACGCGGCUGCACUGACCCUCUGCAAAAGGAAGCAACUGGACAUUUCCUCUACACAUUGUCUCUUUUGAAAAGUUCCAAGCAGAUGCUCGCCCACCCACCAAGGCUGAGGCCAAAGAAAAUUCUCCGAUGACAAGGCUCUGCAGGUGCCGUACAGAGCGAGUACUUUUCAGGCAGCUGGCGGAGCCCAGAGCAAGCUUCCCCCGGAGCAUCCAAAGGGGCCACUUGGCUGCGGUCGCCAUUGCGAGAACAACAGGAAACUGAGCAGGGGCUGCGCUCGUCCUGGGCAGGACAACUCUCCAUUUCCCUUCAGGCCUGGCAUUGUUUUGCUGAUGGAAGAAAAGUGGAAUGGGGCGUGAUCACACUGCCGGCUCAGCAGCUGGAAAGCUCGUGUUGGCUUAAAUGUGCACAAGAUGUCCUCUGGUUGCUGGAUUUGGCUUCUUUGAUGACUGCAUUGCCCUGAGACUGGACCCCAGAGAAUCUCUGAAUUAUUGGGUGCUUUGACGGUUAAUCACUGAACAACAAAGAAUCACUCAAUAAUUGGAUGCCUCUAUCUAAAAACACUUCCCAACCUCCUUUGCACAUAGACAUGACCAACAUGCUGAGGUCAAUGUGUAGGGGUUUCCAGGAAGGCUCUUUAAGGAGAACCAAUUCACCUGCAAGAAGGAUGAUGAAGUCUUCCGCCCCGAGAUCCUGAGAGAACAGUGGCCUUAGUGGAAACACCACACACCUGGCUGGGUCUUGUCAGGUGGAGACGCUGAGAGCUGUUUCUUUCCGGUCCCGGAAGACGCGGAAUUCUUUCCCGGCAUCUUUGCUCGGCCUGCGUCUGAGCGAGAAAGAUACCACAUCCCAGAGUUGCUGUGAUCUUCAAACGAGACAAGAUAUGUAGAAGUGCCAGGCAAAUAUAAACCAGUUCUGCAACUCUAGGUGGAUGGCAGAGAACAGACUUCCUGUCUUGAGCACCUGCCCUGUUUAGGCUUCCCAGCAGCAGUAAACAGCAUCUCCCGUUGCCUCCUGCUUCCAAGGCACGACCAGACACCAAAACCAUCACAGAGGAAGCUUGAAAAGAAAGACUUCAUGAAGACUGUCGGUCAAGACACAACCGGGGAACAGAAACAUCUCAGCAGGUACAGGAGAAGGAAUUUAAUCCAGGGAGGAGAUCGUGGCCAGUGGAGGGUCAGAACAGCCACUGCAGUGUCAAACCACACACAGUGAAUUAUUCGUUCAGAUCUCAUGACAAGGAAACUUGGUGUCUUUGUCCACCUGGGCUGCUGUAACAAAAUGCCAUCCACAGGGCGGCCCAUGCACAACAAAUUUAUCUCUGACAGUUCUGGAGGCUAGGGUGUCCAGGAUCAAGGCCCUCGCCACUUCAGUGUCUGGUGAAGGUCACUUCCUGAUUCAUAGAUGGCACCUUCUCGGGAGUCUGCAUGUGCUGGAAGGGGCAAGGGGCCUCUCUGGGACCUUUUUGUAAAUUUUAUUUUUAUUUAUUCAAUUGUUUGAGAUGGAGUUUCACUCUUGUUGCC